rnacentral:rRNA from 1 species
UUGACUUAUAAAAGUUCUUGGAUAAGGGUGGCUAAUGACGGUGCCAGCCGCCGCGGUAAUACCGGCGCCUCAAGUGGUAGUCGCUUUUAUUGGGCCUAAAACGUCCGUAGCCGGUUUGGUACAUUCUGGGUAAAUCAACCCGCUCAACGAGUUGACUUCUGCGAGCACGGCCAGACUUGGGACCGGGAGAGGUGUGGGGUACUCUCAGGGUAGGGGUAAAAUCCUGUCAUCCUGAGAGGACCACCUGUUGCGAAGGCGCCACACUAGAACGGAUCCGACGGUCAGGGACGAAACCUAGGGGCACGAACCGGAUUAGAUACCCGGGUAGUCCUAGGUGUAAACGCUGUGUACUUGAUGUUGCGGACGCUCCGAGCGCUUUCAGUGUCGAAGCGAAGNUGAUAAGUCCACUGCCUGGGGAGUACGGUCGCAAGGCUGAAACUUAAAGGAAUUGGCGGGGGAGCACCGCAACCUGAGGAUUGUGCGGUUUAAUUGGAGUCAACGCCGGGAAUC